rnacentral:rRNA from 1 species
GGUCAAGUGAAGAAGCGCAUACGGUGGAUGCCUUGGCAGUCAGAGGCGAUGAAAGACGUGGUAGCCUGCGAAAAGCUUCGGGGAGUCGGCAAACAGACUUUGAUCCGGAGAUGUCUGAAUGGGGGAACCCAGCCAUCAUAAGAUGGUUAUCUUGUACUGAAUACAUAGGUGCAAGAGGCGAACCAGGGGAACUGAAACAUCUAAGUACCCUGAGGAAAAGAAAUCAACCGAGAUUCCCUUAGUAGUGGCGAGCGAACGGGGACUAGCCCUUAAGUGGCUUUGAGAUUAGCGGAACGCUCUGGAAAGUGCGGCCAUAGUGGGUGAUAGCCCUGUACGCGAAAAUCUCUUAGUCAUGAAAUCGAGUAGGACGGAGCACGAGAAACUUUGUCUGAAUAUGGGGGGACCAUCCUCCAAGGCUAAAUACUACUGACUGACCGAUAGUGAACUAGUACCGUGAGGGAAAGGCGAAAAGAACCCCGGAGAGGGGAGUGAAAUAGAUCCUGAAACCGUAUGCGUACAAGCAGUGGGAGCCCACUUUGUUGGGUGACUGCGUACCUUUUGUAUAAUGGGUCAGCGACUUAUUUUCAGUGGCGAGCUUAACCGAAUAGGGGAGGCGUAGCGAAAGCGAGUCUUAAUAGGGCGUCUAGUCGCUGGGAAUAGACCCGAAACCGGGCGAUCUAUCCAUGGGCAGGUUGAAGGUUGGGUAACACUAACUGGAGGACCGAACCGACUACCGUUGAAAAGUUAGCGGAUGACCUGUGGAUCGGAGUGAAAGGCUAAUCAAGCUCGGAGAUAGCUGGUUCUCCUCGAAAGCUAUUUAGGUAGCGCCUCAUGUAUCACUGUAGGGGGUAGAGCACUGUUUCGGCUAGGGGGUCAUCCCGACUUACCAAACCGAUGCAAACUCCGAAUACCUACAAGUGCCGAGCAUGGGAGACACACGGCGGGUGCUAACGUCCGUCGUGAAAAGGGAAACAACCCAGACCGUCAGCUAAGGUCCCAAAGUUAUGGUUAAGUGGGAAACGAUGUGGGAAGGCUUAGACAGCUAGGAGGUUGGCUUAGAAGCAGCCACCCUUUAAAGAAAGCGUAAUAGCUCACUAGUCGAGUCGGCCUGCGCGGAAGAUGUAACGGGGCUCAAACCAUACACCGAAGCUACGGGUAUCACGUAAGUGAUGCGGUAGAGGAGCGUUCUGUAAGCCUGUGAAGGUGAGUUGAGAAGCUUGCUGGAGGUAUCAGAAGUGCGAAUGCUGACAUGAGUAACGAUAAUGGGUGUGAAAAACACCCACGCCGAAAGACCAAGGUUUCCUGCGCAACGUUAAUCGACGCAGGGUUAGUCGGUCCCUAAGGCGAGGCUGAAAAGCGUAGUCGAUGGAAAACAGGUUAAUAUUCCUGUACUUCUGGUUAUUGCGAUGGAGGGACGGAGAAGGCUAGGCCAGCUUGGCGUUGGUUGUCCAAGUUUAAGGUGGUAGGCUGNNUAACGAAGUGGUUGAUGCCAUGCUUCCAAGAAAAGCUUCUAAGCUUCAGGUAACCAGGAACCGUACCCCAAACCGACACAGGUGGUUGGGUAGAGAAUACCAAGGCGCUUGAGAGAACUCGGGUGAAGGAACUAGGCAAAAUGGCACCGUAACUUCGGGAGAAGGUGCGCCGGUGAGGGUGAAGGACUUGCUCCGUAAGCUCAUGCCGGUCGAAGAUACCAGGCCGCUGCGACUGUUUAUUAAAAACACAGCACUCUGCAAACACGAAAGUGGACGUAUAGGGUGUGACGCCUGCCCGGUGCCGGAAGGUUAAUUGAUGGGGUUAGCUAACGCGAAGCUCUUGAUCGAAGCCCCGGUAAACGGCGGCCGUAACUAUAACGGUCCUAAGGUAGCGAAAUUCCUUGUCGGGUAAGUUCCGACCUGCACGAAUGGCGUAACGAUGGCGGCGCUGUCUCCACCCGAGACUCAGUGAAAUUGAAAUCGCUGUGAAGAUGCAGUGUAUCCGCGGCUAGACGGAAAGACCCCGUGAACCUUUACUAUAGCUUUGCACUGGACUUUGAAUUUGCUUGUGUAGGAUAGGUGGGAGGCUUUGAAGCGUGGACGCCAGUCUGCGUGGAGCCAUCCUUGAAAUACCACCCUGGCAACUUUGAGGUUCUAACUCAGGUCCGUUAUCCGGAUCGAGGACAGUGUAUGGUGGGUAGUUUGACUGGGGCGGUCUCCUCCUAAAGAGUAACGGAGGAGUACGAAGGUGCGCUCAGACCGGUCGGAAAUCGGUCGUAGAGUAUAAAGGCAAAAGCGCGCUUGACUGCGAGACAGACACGUCGAGCAGGUACGAAAGUAGGUCUUAGUGAUCCGGUGGUUCUGUAUGGAAGGGCCAUCGCUCAACGGAUAAAAGGUACUCCGGGGAUAACAGGCUGAUACCGCCCAAGAGUUCAUAUCGACGGCGGUGUUUGGCACCUCGAUGUCGGCUCAUCACAUCCUGGGGCUGAAGCCGGUCCCAAGGGUAUGGCUGUUCGCCAUUUAAAGUGGUACGCGAGCUGGGUUUAGAACGUCGUGAGACAGUUCGGUCCCUAUCUGCCGUGGACGUUUGAGAUUUGAGAGGGGCUGCUCCUAGUACGAGAGGACCGGAGUGGACGAACCUCUGGUGUUCCGGUUGUCACGCCAGUGGCAUUGCCGGGUAGCUAUGUUCGGAAUAGAUAACCGCUGAAAGCAUCUAAGCGGGAAACUAGCCUCAAGAUGAGAUCUCACUGGAACCUUGAGUUCCCUGAAGGGCCGUCGAAGACUACGACGUUGAUAGGUUGGGUGUGUAAGCGCUGUGAGGCGUUGAGCUAACCAAUACUAAUUGCCCGUGAGGCUUGACCAU